rnacentral:rRNA from 1 species
ACGCUAGCUACAGGCUUAACACAUGCAAGUCGAGGGGAAACGGCAUUAAGUGCUUGCACUUUUUGGACGUCGACCGGCGCACGGGUGAGUAACGCGUAUCCAACCUUCCCAUGACUAAGGGAUAACCUGCCGAAAGGCAGACUAAUACCUUAUGGUCUUCACUGACGGCAUCAGAUGUGAAGUAAAGAUUUAUCGGUUAUGGAUGGGGAUGCGUCUGAUUAGCUUGUUGGCGGGGUAACGGCCCACCAAGGCAACGAUCAGUAGGGGUUCUGAGAGGAAGGUCCCCCACAUUGGAACUGAGACACGGUCCAAACUCCUACGGGAGGCAGCAGUGAGGAAUAUUGGUCAAUGGGCGAGAGCCUGAACCAGCCAAGUAGCGUGCGGGAUGACGGCCCUAUGGGUUGUAAACUGCUUUUGUAUGGGGAUAAAGUCAAUCACGUGUGAUUGUUUGCAGGUACCAUACGAAUGAGGACCGGCUAAUUCCGUGCCAGCAGCCGCGGUAAUACGGAAGGUCCGGGCGUUAUCCGGAUUUAUUGGGUUUAAAGGGAGCGUAGGCUGGAGAUUAAGUGUGUUGUGAAAUGUAGACGCUCAACGUCUGACUUGCAGCGCAUACUGGUUUCCUUGAGUACGCACAACGUUGGCGGAAUUCGUCGUGUAGCGGUGAAAUGCUUAGAUAUGACGAAGAACUCCGAUUGCGAAGGCAGCUGACGGGAGCGCAACUGACGCUGAAGCUCGAAGGUGCGGGUAUCGAACAGGAUUAGAUACCCUGGUAGUCCGCACAGUAAACGAUGGAUGCCCGCUGUUGGUACCUGGUAUCAGCGGCUAAGCGAAAGCAUUAAGCAUCCCACCUGGGGAGUACGCCGGCAACGGUGAAACUCAAAGGAAUUGACGGGGGCCCGCACAAGCGGAGGAACAUGUGG